rnacentral:rRNA from 1 species
AAAGAUUAAGCCAUGCAUGUCUAAGUAACACUUUAAGAUCGUGAAACCGCGAAUGGCUCAUUAUAACAGCUAACAUCUACUUGAUCUUGACACAAUCCUACUUGGAUAACUGUGGUAAUUCUAGAGCUAAUACAUGCAUUAAAGCUCUGACCUCACGGGAAGAGUGCACUUAUUAGAACAAAACCAAGCGCUUCGGCUGUUUCUGGUUGACUCAUAGUAACUGAGCUGAUCGCACGGUCUUGCACCGGCGACGUGUCUUUCGAGUAUCUGCCGUAUCAACUUUCGAUGGUAGUGUAUCUGACUACCAUGGUGAUCACGCGUAACGGAGAAUAAGGGUUCGGCUCCGGAGAGUUCGCCCGAGAAAUCGCGAACACAUCUAAGGAAGGCAGCAGGCGCGAAAAUUACCCACUCUCAGCACGAGGAGGUAGUGACGAAAAACAACGAGACCGUUCUCUUAUGAGGCCGGUCAUCGGAAUGGGUACAAUUUAAACCCUUUAACGAGUAUCUAUGAGAGGGCAAGUCUGGUGCCAGCAGCCGCGGUAAUUCCAGCUCUCAAGUGCAUAGAAUUAUUGCCGCGGUUAAAAGCUCGUAGUUGGAUCUGUGCCAUAGGACGUGGUCCACCUUCUGGGUGCGUACUAUGUUCCUAGGCUUUUUGCUGGUUUUCCCGUCGUAGCCUUAACUGGUUGCGGCGGGUGGCUGGCGAGUUUACUUUGAGAAAAUCAGAGUGCUCCACACAGGCGUAUCGCUUGAAUGAUUGUGCAUGGAAUAAAUAGAAAGGAUUUCGGUCCUCUUUUAUUGGGUUUGUGGACUGAGAUAAUGGGUUACAGGGACCAACGGGGGCAUUCGUAUCGCUGCGUGAAUUCUUGGACCGAACGAGACGCCUACUGCGAAGCUUUGCCA